CACAGUGACAUGCAGAUGAGCGCUGAGGGGUGGCUAAUUGCUCAGGGCAGGCUGACAUAAUGGAGCAGUUCUGAGAGCACCUCAGCUGCAGAGAUAUGUGCUGGCCCUCUGCUGCUGCCCUCCUGCACAGAUGCUCUCUCUCCUUCAUAGGAGGAAUCUCCCUUCAUUUCUCACCAAGAGGAGUCUGAAGAAUUGAGUGCCCAAAGAAUUUGCAUGGAAUUAUUCAUCCCGCUCAAAACUGCUGGGCGCCGUGUCCUGGGAGAAGACAGCAGCGAGAGCUGAGUGCCAGAAUGGAGCCCAGGCACUGGCGUAUUCCCGUGUCACACCACAGGAGUGAGCAGAGCGCAGGACAGCAUGGGGCAGAGAGCCAGGAGCUGUGUUUGGGUGGACAGUUUGCAGAUCUGCAGGAUGCUCCUUCCCUCACUGUGCACAGACCAUGCUGGGGGUGGCACAUGCAGAUGGACAGUGCUGGAGGGCACAACCGACUGCAGCGGCUCCUUGCUGCUCCCACACAGACUGUGGAUGCCAUGGGGUUACAGCUGGCCACGUCAGCAGCAGGAACGGAGCUCCGGCGUGUCCCUCUCCAUGGUGCAGGCUGGGCACAGGAGUGGUGCUUACAUAGGUGAGGAGAAAGCAUUUUUGCAACAGCAUGGAAAAUGUGUAUGAGGAGACAAGACAUCAGGCUGCCAUCAGCACAAAUGUAUCUGUGCCUUAUUUUUCUGCUUUCCUGGCUCCCAGACAAGUGCCACCAAAACCACCAAUUUUCCUGUCCUUUCUUUCCUUUGCUUUCACAAGUAUCUUAAACCAAACCCCUCCCUCCCAGCAGAAACAGGAUGCACUGCUGGGUAUAGAAUAAAAAAAUCAGUAUUUUUAAUCCCUCA
rnacentral:lncRNA from 1 species